UGCCGCUUCCCUAUCUCUCCCCAUGUUAAAAUGCGCGCACGCGGUUGGCGCUACAGCUAAAUUCAUGAAGCCACCCGCGGACUGAUUGGUGUCAAUCGAACGCGCACGAGUCGUUUUAUCACAUAACUCGGAACCGAGCCUGAAAACAAAAGCGCUUUCGAGAAUUCCACCGCUGAAAUCUGCCCAUUUCGCUGCGAGCUCCGACAGCGACGAUCGCACCCGAGCGCCAGCGGCUGUCGGCGAAGCACGCAUCACCAUGGCAACCAGACAACAAGUGACGUCACCGAGCGAUUUCAUUGGUCCGCCGUGUGUCACAACUGCUUGGGAAAGAAAACAAUAGUGAGAACACCAAAACAUAACAAUCUCUUCUUGCUCUUCUUGUUUUUGUAACCCAUCGUUUCGUGCCUUGUGUUGAAGCAGGCGCCGGUGGGCCGGUGCCGCCGACACCAGCGGCGAUGCAGGCGGCCGCCGUGGCCCGCGCAAGCAUUCAAGCAGUGCAAGAAGAACCACCUCUCCACCUCCGAGUCGACCGACGACGAGAUGCCCGAGCUCGAAAGAGGUUGAACCUAAGGAAGCUGCAGCUGCUUGAUAAAGUUUCUCCACCUCGAUGAUCCACUCGAACGAUGAGACGGAGAUAAAAAGCAAUAGGCCCUCAGUAAACUGCCUGCUUUUAGUGUUCUGGCAGGCUUCAUUGAAUUUCUCCAUGUUCUUGUGACUGAAGGCCACACCACCUCUGGACAUGAGGAGCUGCCACCACCUGUCGAUUUUUCUGCAGAACCAGGCGGUGGACCAGUGUGAAGAGGCAGAGUACUCUCUCCGGUUGUACAGUUCAGUGACUUGUCGUACUGCCUUCCCAUGGUUAGGCUCAUCUCAUCGUACAUCAAAAUCAUCACUUUGUCAGCAGAGGUCUCAUGCCCCAUGCGAUUUUUCAGAACAGUGAUGGCGCCAGAUUCUACACCAGGAGGAAGGGUGAAAUCUUUUGUCCGCUCCUGGAUUGUCUUAAUCGCUGGUGUAGGAUGGCCACAAUCAUAGUAGUGCUGAUAUCCUGAUGUUCCGAAAAUAAACUUUUUCUCUAGACCUUCGAGUAUUGCUGAGUCAGACCAGGCACUGACAGCUGCCCUUCCACCACUUUUAUUCUGCUUUUCUGUAAGACAUCAAUGUUCAUUAUUGUUUCUUAAAUUGCGGAAAAUGGGCUCACUCAGCAAAUCCAGUUGUUCCUUUGAGUAAAUUUUGCUCAAGUUUGUUUCGAGAACAGCUGCAGCCGUGCUGCUCUCCUUGAGUUCCUUGACUUGAUUUUCCAAGGCUUGGCACUUGGCCAGGAGCUCCCAUCGCUCUCUGGUGUCCUUCGAAUCUCCUUCGGCAAGCCAAUUAAUGACCUCUAUUUUGUUGUAAAUUCCUUCUUGGGGAUUCAGCUUACUUUCCAUUCUUUCUUUUGGGGGUUCAUUGAUUAUUCCUUAUUUUAAUGUGAAAUUACUCAAUAUAUCUUUAAUACAGAUUUAAUCUAUAUUACCUGUUGAUAGCUCAAUUUCCCAUGGAAGCGCUUGACCUGACAUGGCUUUGGAUUGACACACUACAGGAAUUUCCCCCAAGGGAAUUGGCGAGUCAAAGUCCAUUUCUUGCUCUGGACAAAACCUCUUGCAUCGUUGCUGGUCUGCAUUUUGAUGUUGUGCUUCGUCCCUGCGAGCUUUAGCUCGUUUGCUCCUGGCCAGGCUUUUCUGUUCUUUGGCUUGCGCUUCAGGUGUGUAACCCUUUGCAUUUGCAGGAGCAGGUACCGUACCCAACUUAAGUUUAGGCUUUGAGCCACUAGUCCAGUCAGUGGGUGAGAAGUGGGCCUUAAAUAAUUUUAAGUGUAUAGAUUUUUGAAAAUUGUAUAAUUUUCUUUUUAAAAAAUUUCAGGUAAGCUACUAAAAAAUUUUAAAAAGAAAAUAUUUUUACCCAGCUCAAUAAAUUAUACAUGAUAUACAUUGCAAUUUGUUGGUUAUUUUAUUCAAUCAAUUUUUUCCAUUUUUUUUAAAUAUAAUAUUUUAAUCAUUAAAAUUUGCACCAAAAUAUUGAUAUGAAAAUUUUCUUUCAUGUGUUGAAUAAUUAACAUCAUUAAUAUUUAUUAAUUUUUAUUAUACAUAAAUUUUAAAUUAUUACUAAAUGUUAUUUCUAAUGGUUAGUAUACUGAAUAAUUGUAGUAUAAUAUGUUCAAAUCUUACUCCACAAACAUAGCUGAACCGUGUCGGGGUAAAAUUAGCCCUCUUCGAUCUCUUAAUCCAAAUUGAACAAAGGGCUGAAUCUUUGACUGGGAAAAAAGCACCAUCGUUUGCCCUUCUGUCACACCCAUAAAAAGAACACAGUCUGAACAUUUUGUAAAGACUUUACAUUAAGAGAAUUUAUGAGAAUUAACUUCAGCGUGGCCUUCAGUCAACUACUGUUCAUUUUCUCAGAUGUUUUAUUUGAAAUGUGUUGACAUGCUUCAACAUGUUUAAGUUUGAAUGUCUUUUGUCUCACCCAUCAAUCAAAAUUAAUAUUUAAAAGGAUUUUAAAAAUUCUAUUACAUGAUUUCUUUGAGUGCAAAGCAUAAAACGCAUUGAGGGGAAAAUUGGAGUAAAAAACAUUAUCUCCUUAUUUACUUUCAUUUAUGUAACUUUAUUUUUUGACACUUUAAAUACAUCCAUAAUUCUACUCUGCAGUCUGCAUUUGCAGGCCGCGUUUGCACAUUCUUGAAACGUGCCUGACGGCGGACCAAUGAAAUCGCUCGGUGACGUCACUUGUUGUCUGGUUGCCAUGGUGAUGCGUGCUUCGCCGACAGCCGCUGGCGCUCGGGUGCGAUCGUCGCUGUCGGAGCUCGCAGCGAAAUGGGCAGAUUUCAGCGGUGGAAUUCUCGAAAGCGCUUUUGUUUUCAGGCUCGGUUCCGAGUUAUGUGAUAAAACGACUCGUGCGCGUUCGAUUGACACCAAUCAGUCCGCGGGUGGCUUCAUGAAUUUAGCUGUAGCGCCAACCGCGUGCGCGCAUUUUAACAUGGGGAGAGAUAGGGAAGCGGCAGUGCGCAGGACACAGUCGCGUCGGUCGGCCUACGCAUCUCACUCUCGUUAUAAUCACUC